ACUGGGUCCCAGUCAUUGCCCCAUUGUCUGGAUCUCGGAGGCUGCCCCUGGUGCUGGCUGAAGCCCAGCCACCAUCCCCGAAGGCCGCUCCUUCCCAGGAUGUCCAGAGGCUCUCGGUGCGUCGUUUCCCAGGUGGCCCCUGACGACUGAGGGCUCCAGGCUCUGCACAGUCCACGCUGCCACUGGGAUCGGAAGGGCGGAUUCCUCCCUCCUUC
rnacentral:lncRNA from 10 species